rnacentral:misc_RNA from 1 species
AAGUCGUAACAAGGUUUCCGUAGGUGAACCUGCGGAAGGAUCAUUAACACGUAUCCACGUAUCCACCCCUGCGCACCUGUUUUUAUUGCCCUGCUGCUCUACAUAUUGGCAACCUUACUUGGCUUCGUUGAAUGGGGCUAGAAAUUUAUUUCUAGUCACAAGCUGGGUUUGGAACAUGACUGUUACAUACUUCGGUAUGGUUGGCCGCCAGACAAUGUGUAGAUCGGCCGGUUAAACUGCGUUCUACUUAUUACUUCUCCAUUCAAGAGGGAAAAAUUGAGCGUGUCCAAUCAACCCCUUUCACCGCUUUUUUGCUAGUUGACUUUAUAAUGUUGAAUGUUGUGCAGUGGUUCAUUUCACUGUGCUGUUCACACGUUUAAUUUAUUUGAACGUUAAAGAUACAACUCUUAGCAAUGGAUAUCUUGGUUCUC